rnacentral:snoRNA from 1 species
GGGUCUGGAUCAGGAACCCUUUCUAGUAACACGUCCAUGCACCAUUUCUAUAUUUUCUUACCAGAGAAGUUUCUCUGAACGUGUGGAGCACCGGAAACCACGAGGAGGCGGCUCAGCAUUCACUCCUGAGCAUGAAGCUGGCUCUUGGUGGUGCUUCUCUGCAAUUGCCUUUUGCCACUGAUGAUCACUCUUCUCUUCCUUUGGGAGAGUGAAAGGGAAAGGAAGCCAUCUGAAGGGU